rnacentral:rRNA from 1 species
AUACGUAGGUCCCCGAGCGUUGUCCGGAUUUAUUGGGCGUUAAAGCGAGCGCAGGCGGUUUAAUAAGUCUGAAGUUAAAGGCAGUGGCUUAACCAUUGUUCGCUUUGGAAACUGUUAAACUUGAGUGCAGAAGGGGAGAGUGGAAUUCCAUGUGUAGCGGUGAAAUGCGUAGAUAUAUGGAGGAACACCGGUGGCGAAAGCGGCUCUCUGGUCUGUAACUGACGCUGAGGCUCGAAAGCGUGGGGAGC